rnacentral:rRNA from 1 species
GACGGAGGGUGCAAGCGUUGCUCGGAAUCACUGGGCGUAAAGGGUGCGUAGGCGGUCUCGCAAGUCUGGCGUGAAAGCCCAAGGCUCAGCCUUGGAAGUGCGCUCGAAACGGCGAGGCUGGAGUGCCGGAGGGGAGAGUGGAAUUCCCGGUGUAGCGGUGAAAUGCGUAGAGAUCGGGAGGAACACCGGUGGUGUAGACGGCUUCUGGACCGUAACUGACGCUGAGACACGAAAGCGUGGGUAGCAAACAGG